AGGGCCCACAUACACUGAAAAAAAUGGACUUGGUGGGUCUUUGAAUUUAAAUAAAAUAAACAUGUAUAUGCAACACAAAAUAUUUAUAUUCCUUGUGUAAACAUAAUUUAAUUGAUUAGGAUGAAAAUGUUUUGUUUGAAUGUAAAAUGAACACAUUAUUCUCACAUUGAUUAAAAUUUAUUGAAUUGAAUACUUAAAGCAAUAAAAUUGAGUUUGCACACAAAAUGGCACCUCCUGAGCAGAAGGUGGCAGUAACGCUCAAUAAAAAGGACGUCAAUCGCCAUAAAAGAAGAAUAAACAUCGUUUGUUUUGGGCGCCAAAAUGAAGACUCAGCAGCAGUCAGUCAGAAGAACUCCCUCAGACGGACACCACGUUAUUAAAGUCCAUCAUCCUUGCAUGCGCUACACUCAAAAGCAUUGAUAAAUGCUGAAUUUAAAAGAAUCACUACUGUCUUAUGUUCCUGCGUGUCACCUGGACCUCCAAUCCAAAAACCUGACGAAACUCUUCUAUCAGAAAGGAGGACAGCUAGCAAACAGACUUCAAACAAUGAAUGAUCAAAUGACAGAAGGCAUGAAUGAAGUCAGCAUCAGUGUGGUCAUUUGAAGACACCAAUGUUGGGAUUUGUGCUCUCAAACAACAUGCUUCUUGUGAUGAAGAAGAGGAUCUUUGUAUAGUCCUGGAAGGCAUGAAGGUGUUGCAACAUCGUGCCAUGUUGUUUGAGCUGAUGUAUGCCUUAAACCUGAGCUAUCCUGAUCUCUGCUUUAUUUUUGAGGAACUGCUAGAUUUUAAUGGAACUGCAUUGAGCGUAACUUUAACGAACAGUUUCUUUCAGUGAAAGGAUCAGAAAGACUGUGCUGCUCAUUUUUGUUAUCUGUUUUAAGUGUUUUUUCUUAUUAAAACAUUAACCGUUUGCUGCUCAGAGUUGAUUUUGGAAAUGGUUGUUGUAUUUUGUUUUUGUUGAAUCUUUGAUUAUCAGUUUAUACAAAUGCUGUAGCUCUGACUUUCUGAAGGAUUGAUAUUUUCCAGUUUGUAAAUCCAUUUAAAAAAUAAUAGUACUUACUGUUUUGCAUGUCUCU